GGCCGGCCGGCGCUAAAGGGUUCCUGGGACCGCGGGAUCGCGGGGGACGGGAGAGACUGCCAAGGUCACCCGUGCCUACCACUCAAUAGUAUCACCCAGCGCCAGCUCCAGAAACCCCUUGAACGUCGCUAGGGAUGGAGACUGCACCACCUCCCUGGGCAACAUAUUCCAAUGCCUGACCACGCAGAGAGAAUUUGUUCUGUUGCUAAUCUUCCAGAAGGGCUGAGAAUGUGUUUCAUCUUCAAGAGAGCUCUCACUGGAUUAUCAGAGUCUGACCUUCAGUGGCAGCAGGCAGUGGCAGCAGCUCCCCUGCUCCUUACUGGACCAAUCCUCUUCAACUUAAUGGAGCUGAGCUCUCUCAUCCAGUUUGCUUUUUAAAAACAACAUACACCCUGCUUUAAUAAAAAUAUUUGUUUGAAGG